rnacentral:rRNA from 1 species
CGGGUGAGUAACGCGUGGGUAACCUGCCUCACACAGGGGGAUAACAGUUAGAAAUGACUGCUAAUACCGCAUAACCCGAUAGGAUCGCAUGAUCCAGACGGAAAAGAUUUAUCGGUGUGAGAUGGACCCGCGUCUGAUUAGCUAGUUGGUGAGGUAACGGCCCACCAAGGCGACGAUCAGUAGCCGGCCUGAGAGGGUGAACGGCCACAUUGGGACUGAGACACGGCCCAG